UCGCUCCCAUUACAACCCGCCUGACGUGGCAGGCCACACAAUAUUUUAUUCAGUGGCCCUGCCAAACAAAUCACGCUUUGUUUACGGCCACCGAGAUUUUCGAGCACGAACGAAACGACAUCCGUACAAGCUCAAAGGCCACGUCCGAGACGCAUGGCACACCGGCCAACACGCGCGCGGAUUGUUGUUCGGCGUGAAGUUACUGCAGUCACCGGAUACAUAUCGCACUUAUAAUCUCUCCCUCGAAGUUGCAAAGAAGCAUACCCCCUUUUUCAUUUACAGAAAACAAUUUUUUUUGUACUGCACAUGCGUUGUGCACGUAGUACUGCGCCACCGUACCGACUCAAAAAUUCUCAAGUAACAUUUAAGUGCUCGUGCGAUACAUGCAUACCAGGAUAGUACGUACCUUGCGUUCUGUGGGCCUAGCCGUUGCCGUUCCUCAGCCGAGAAAUGUCUUCGCCAGUCAAAGGCUUUACUGUUCGUUCCACCCGUGAAUGCAUACGAGCAUGCCGUGUGCUGCCAAUUCGGAUGCCUGCUAACAAACAAUGCUUCACCAACUUGGCACUACUGACUCCGAUGGUGCCGGAAUUUCGUGAACCAGCCCGGCACCUUUCUGGCACUUCUUGAAACGAAUGCUACAGUACGGAGGGCGCUAGGCUGCACCAUUGAAACGAAGGGCAGGCUGCAGCACCUCACGAACUGCUUUCGAUGGCGCAGGUGAAUCGAACGGGCCAUUAAGUUUUUAUCUUUCUUCCAUGAGCACGGGUGCCGCCAUGUUUGCCACGUGAUCGCGCUGGUAUGAUUGACUUUGAAUUUAGGGACAGGGAAGCGGCGGUACGGCUGCAGGCAUGGGUGACGUUUCGGGAAACGCCGUUGUUUCGGGUCCACCGAUGGAAAGCUGCUGGAUCGACGACGCAACGCUCUGGCCUAUGGUUCAACGAACGCGGAUAGCGGAAACUGGAGAUUAGGAAGAGGGGAGACUCGGCCUUCUCGUUACAAGUCCCUCCAAGCUACAAUCUGCAAGCCUCUCCGGCCACCCAGCUUCCCAAGCCCCUGGGCCCUGGUUCGUCGCAUAUAACGCAUACCCUGCUAAUGCUCGUGCUGCCGUCGAUUUCUGCGAUAAAUAAAUGGAUACGCUCGCA